CAGACGAUGCGUCAUGCAUAUCAAUAAGCGGAGGAAAAGAAAAUAACAAUGAUUUCCCUAGUAACGGCGAGUGAACAGGAAAGAGCUCAAAGUUGGAACCUGCUUGACUUAGUUAAGCCGGAUUGUAAACUGUAGAAACGUUUUCUAGGCAAGCCGAGUUAAAAAGUCCUUUGGAACAGGGCAUCAUAGAGGGUGAGAAUCCCGUCUUUGACUCGAGUAUUUUGUCUUUUUAUGAUACGUUUUCCAAGAGUCAGGUUGUUUGGGAAUGCAGCCUGAAUUGGGUGGUAAAUCUCACCUAAAGCUAAAUAUUUGCGAGAGACCGAUAGCGAACAAGUACCGUGAGGGAAAGAUGAAAAGAACUUUGAAAAGAGAGUUAAACAGUACGUGAAAUUGUCAAAAGGGAAGCGUUUGACACCAGUGUUGUUUUCUCGAAAAUCAAUUAAAAAGAGUUAGAUUUUGUUGUGUAUUGACCUUAACAGCUUGCAUUUCAAUUUUCUUGCUUUUUUUAAUGCACUUUUCGUUUAACAAGUCAACAUCAGUUUCUUUUGUUGUAAAAAGGUCAUUGGAAGGUGGCUUUCUUUUCGGAGAAAGUGUUUAUAGCCUUUGACUCCUGCAAUCGGAGAGACUGAGGUCUGCAGCGUAGAUCCUUCGGGGUUAGAUACAUUUGUGCUAAGUUAUAGCUUUUUAUAGACAACUUGUUGACUAUGAUUAGUCUUGUAGCUUACUCGCUUAUGCUAUUUUACCUACGCUUAGGAUGUUGAGUCGUAGAGCACGCAG
rnacentral:rRNA from 1 species